rnacentral:lncRNA from 1 species
CCUGGUUUCCAUUAGAGGACUGGCCAUUUGAACUUUGCCCAGCACUUAAUCUGGGCCUGUUUUGCUGAGUUUUGAAACAGCUGCUCUUACCCUGCCCUUCCUGGGUCCUCCUGGUGAGUGGAGGGAAGAGGGCAUGGCAGUCCCCCAGGCCCCCAGCACUGGCUCUUCCCCGGAGGGUCCCAGCCCAGCCUCCACCCCCAGCCAACUCCACACUGGAACGCAAUAGCAAGAGAGGAGAUGGUGAGGGCUUCCGCAAGAGGGAGGCCACAGCCAAGUCUGCCCUCAGCCCAUAGAUGUCCAGCCAACAGGCCUCUGCCACCUGUCCUUCCGGCCCUGUCAUGGGGACAAAGACCCAUUGUCUGCCUGCAGCACUUGCCAGUGCCUAUCUGGACAGCACCUCAUCUGUCAACCCUGCUCUUCAGGGAAGGUAGAGCAGUGAGCCCAUUUCAGACAAGGACACUGGGUCCUGCCCAGGCUCUGUCAACCAUCUGGCAAGUAGGGAGCCAGAGCUGGAGAGCAGCCCUGAAGCUCCAGACUCUUCUCCAGAGCAGGUAAACGGGAGGUUCAGGCAGAGUGUCCCAAGAAAGAAAAGUGGAUGCUUCCCUCCUCUUCCCUUCCAGCCCUGCUCUGCCUUGUUCAUCCCUGACUCUGUCUUCCUUUACAUAGAAGAACU